UGAACUGAAGUGUCUGGUCGCUCCGAUUAAUCUCGGAGAGGAAAGUCCGGACUCCAUAGGGCAGGAUGUCCCUCGUUAUUCGAGGGAAACCCUUUGCUACAACGAAGGGGAUGGAAAGUGCCACAGAAAACAAACCGCCUCGAAAAUGCCGCAAGGCAUCUUCCGGGGUAAGGGCGAAACGGCGGUGUAAGAGACCACCGGUCAUAGUCGUAAGGCAUGACGCAAGGCAAACCCCAUCCGGAGCAAGAUCAAAUAAGGGGUUGGAGGCUGCUCGUCUCGUUCCCGUUUCGGCGGGAGUAAACUCCGGGUUGAUCGCAGAGAACCUCUUUAAGGGGUUCAAUAGAUAAAUGACCAACCUGUGGAAACACAGGCAACAAAAUUCGGCUUACGGCUUCAUUCAUCGA
rnacentral:RNase_P_RNA from 3 species